rnacentral:misc_RNA from 1 species
AUGCCAUGUAAAGUAGCAUUUAAGGUGAAAACAGAGUGCUCGCCAGAAUUGUAUUGUCUAAGAGAAUUCGACUACAAGAAAAAAAAGGUGUUUAAAGCACUUGGAGUGAAAGACAUGUUUUCUGUUGACUAUCUUCUUUCGGUAUUACUGCGAUUGUACAAGACAUGUUUCCAGCAUAUAUGCACGGAUAUAGACUUGGCCACAAGUUUGCUGCUUAACUUGUGCGAAAGUAUGAAAUUGGAAGGAGUCACUUAUAAUGAUUUGAAAGACAGUGCAGCAAAUAUUGUUGCACCAGAUUCGGACGGGGUUCUUAGGCCAACAAGCGAACUAGUAAUAGAAGAUCCAGCUUACAAGUCAUCUGCUACACUUCACAUCUUGCAUGGAAACAUCCCGCCAGAUACAGGAAGAGCACUAGGUGUUAAGUCGAAACAAAGGAAAAUAGUAGAAUUCUUUUCAAGCGGAUUCUUUGUUCCAUUUGGACAGAACGAGAGUUUAGUAACAAGACUGACUGGCAUAUUGCAAGAUUAUCCAUGUGAUUCAAGUAUCAUGAAAGAAUUAAUUCAGAAUGCUGAUGAUGCAGGAGCAACAGAAAUAUAUUUUAUUAAGAAUUACGCAAGUCAUUCUACAGAGAAGAUAUUUGGAAAGGAGGGACUCCAAGGCCCUUCUCUGUGUAUAUUUAACGAUAGCUAUUUCACUGAAGAAGAUUUUCAUGGCAUCAGAAACCUUGGUAUUGGGAGUAAGCGUGAGGAUCCAUUAAAAACUGGUCAAUAUGGCAUUGGAUUCAAUGCUGUGUACCAUUUGACUGACGUACCAUCUUUUCUCACUAAAGGCCCAGGACUAGGAAAAGGUGGUCAGUUGUGUAUAUUUGAUCCCAUGAUGGAGUAUUUGGAGGGUCAUAUAACAAAUGAAAAUCCAGGUAUUAAAUGUGACGCUGAACUUAUGGAAGAGUCGUUUCCAGAUAUGUUACAUGGUUAUCCUGUUAUAUCAAACAUCGAAACUUCUGGAAAGGGUACUAUAUUCAGACUACCCUUGAGGCAGUCCAGGUCAGAUAUUAGUAACAAUGUUGUUUCAGUUGAAAGAAUGGAUGAACUGAUUGACACUUUUAAAAAUGAUAUGUUUGAAAGUCUGCUUUUUUUGAAAAGUAUCAAGUGUAUAAAAGUUUUAAACAACACAAAUGGGAAGUUGAUUGAAGAAUUUUCUGUAGGGACAAAACUUUCAGAGAAAGAUGAUAUCACACGUAAGGAAUACUUUUCCAGCGUCAAGGAAGUGGUUAAAGCCAACAUUGAUGACCAACAUCUGAACCUUUGCAUGCAGCCAAUAGAAUCAUCAUACAGAAUUGAAAUUGAAGGUACGACAGGCAGGAAAGAGCGAUGGUUGAUUGUAAAUAGGUUUGGAAUUAAAAGGACAGACGAAAAAUAUUCUGCUGUCAUAUCUGCUUUGAAAGGAAAAAGACAUUGGUCUUAUGCCAGUAGCAUCUGUAGCUUUACUUUGGCCUAAAGACGACUGGAAGAACUGUUUGGACAGACAAAGCCAUCAGACUCACGGGAAAGAAGACAGUCAGAAAAGCGUUCUUUUUUCUCCCUCUUCCUUUACCAACAGGAUUACCACUUCAUGUGAAUGGUCAUUUCGCACUAGAUAAGGCCAGGACCAAACUGUGGAACGAAGGAAAUAAGAAAAAAUUGGAACGAAUUUGUGAUAGAAGAAUUGUUAAGCAGAAUAUAUAUAUCAGCUAUACAGUACUUCAAAAAAGAAUUUGUUUUCCAACAUUUACAUGUGUUAGACAAAAAGAUCAGGUCAGCAGCGUUUGAAAAGUAUCAUGAACAUUUUCCACACUAGGAGAAGGCAACAGACUCAUACUGGAAAUCUCUUGUCGGUAAUUUUUAUCGAAUAGUUAUUGGAGAAGAGUUUGAGAUAUUCCCCUCCAUUCGUGCUGCUACAGUACAUACCGGUAGUGAUCGACCUACUGGAGAUGUACAAGAAGUUCAACUGGAUUGGGUAUCGCUUUCCAAAUCAGAGAACGAUUUUAGGGGCACGUUCAAUGUAAUUAGGCCUGAAAAGUCAUUUUACAUAGAAUAUGCGAAGUCCGUUGAAACUACAGUUAAGAAAAUGGGUAUGAAAGUAAUUGAAACACCUCUAUGGGUGAGCCAUUCAAUUAGAACGUCUGGCAUUGAAUAUAUUCCAGUGAGCACUCCAGAAUCGGUCAUUAUGUUUAUAAAAACAUUUGCUGACGGCAAUGAGAGUGCCUGUCAGCUUGGAGGAAUAAAUGUUUCAUUGGCAGAAACAGCGAUAUCUGAUUUAACAGCUCUGCAAAGCAUGCUAUGGUAUGUUACAAAAGAUAAGUUAUUCAAAGAAAAAGUCGAAGGUCUGCCUUUGUGUCUUGCUAACAAUGGUCUGCUGCAAAUUUUCUGUAAGCAUACCCUAAGUUUUGUUCGGAUAUGUGUGAGGUUUUUACAGGAUCAGCUGAUCAGUUUAUACAUUCUCAAUUGGUGCAUCUGGUAGACCUAAAAGGGUACCAUGAAGCAGGAGUAAUAAAAUUCUUCGAAGUGACAGAUUUAGUUUCACACUUAGCUAAAACAUUUGAUCCGACAAUUUUGGCAACUGGAAGUCACGUGAUGUGGAAUAAGCAGUCUGGUAUUCCUAUAAAACCCGAUAUCCUGAAAAAGAUAUUUCAAUUCAUAUAUGACAAGUCAUUGAAUGUGGAUACAAAACAAAUCAAUCACAAUGUGUUUCAAAGUAACGUUCGAAAGUUGAAUACUUGGUCAUUGAUGUCGUCGUGUUACGGCUAUGGGUCUGAGAGUACAUUUGAGACUUGUGCCUGUUUGCCAAACAUCUCAUCUUUUUCACAAAAGUUAUGGAAACGAUGACCUGUGCAAAAUAAUAGAAAAGUUCAACAUUCCCCACCUCGAUACAUCAGCGUUUCUCAGAAAAUGGAAAACACCUGACAUACGCACUACAAAAACUAUUGCCUUCAACUGAACUUCCAGUAGAAUUGCUAGAGUGUUUGUUUUAUUACAAAACAAGAAUUCAGGCAAGUACAUUAACCCGGGAAGAAAGUAUUUCAGUGCUGAGUUACUUUAAUGAUAAAAUAAAUCAGAUGAAGCAAAAACGUAAUGAAACUGAUUUACGGAACAUGCUUAAAAACCUCCCUCUCUAUGUGUCUCAUCAGGGGGGAAUUUUAAGCAUCGAAGGAUAUAGUGACAUCGUGGUAUUGCCGUUUGGAAUCCCUACAGCGGGAAUUCAUGUAUGGGCACAGGCAACCGGCAUAUUACUUCUCAGAGACACAGAAAAACUGCUGAAAUUAUAUCAGUUGUUAAAUCUUCCUAGAAAGACGAACCUGGAAGUAUAUGUUGAGAAAAUCUUACCACAUUUCCAUAACCUUCCAAGGAACACGUGGAUUACGCAUAUCAAGUAUAUGAAGGAGAGACUAUUGAGAACAUCUUUUCACCAGAAACUUGAUGGGAAGCAGUGUUAUCUUGUGGAGCAACUAAAAGGUUUAGCGUUUGUCAAAGUCUUUGAAACAGACAAAAGGGUAAACGAGCUUUAUGAUCAUUAUCAUCCAGUUUUCACAUGUAUGCUGACUGAAGACUGCUUUCUGCCACAAGAAUACAGAGAGUAUUCCUGGACCGAAUUUAUGGAACUUUUGGGACUUAUAAAGGAGCCCACCGACGAAAUAUUGAUACGUUUUGUACAUAGUUUGGAAGCUAAAAUCAAUAACCCUAUUAACGAUGUGACUGUGAAACAGUCUAGGGCACUGAUUGAUUGUCUUUUUAACGGAGAAUGGGCAGAUCAAACCUUGACACGAAUAAAAGGUGUACGAUUUGUUGUACCAUAUAAAGUUGAUUUGGAAAGACUGAAUAUAGCCAGUCAGCCUGGUAAAGGAGAUAUACUUAUUUGCUUGUCUGGGGCAGUAUCGUCCGUACACGCUGAUUAUUGUUGGUCUAAUCUUAAUCUCCUUUUGCGUGUUCCGACUUCAACAGAAAUGUUACAAAGACUUGGCAUAUAUGAAUAUCCACCUAUCGACACUGUUGUUCAGCAUUGUCAGAACGUGACUGGUAUCUUUAAAAAAGAACUAGAUAAACAAAUACCUGGCGUUCGUCCUUGCUUCGUAAAAAAACAAAUGGAAUUACUUUAUGAAGUGUUACUUAAACACUUCCAUCCUACAAUGCAAAGGAAAUUUCAAGUCACUCCUUUAGUUUUCCAUCCGGAGGAUAAAAAGAUGUUGCAAGUCAAACAAAUUGUUAUCAGCCUUUCAGAAGACGAAGAAGUUAGACCGUUUUUAUACAAACUGCCGAACUGUUUCGGACCGUUCGAGGACUUAUUCGUAAAGCUUGGCUGUCAUGACCGAGUGCUUUGUUCCCAUUACUCAGUGGUCUUAGAGACAAUGAAAGGGCAAUUUGGAAAUGGACCAUUGCCUCCUAAUCAGCUACUGUGUGUCAAAAGAGCUCUUGAAAAUAUUGUUAAGCGCAUAGAACAAGAAUCGAAUCCUCUUCAGGAUGUAAACUCAUUGUAUAUUCCAAAUCGGAAUCAAGUUCUUGUAAGCUCAAAAUCAUUGACUGUUUCAAACAAUGCUGAUGUGGAAGAACGACUGGACGGAAAAAUAGAAAUCCAGUUUUUCUUAGGAUUCAGAGAAAUGGACAUUGCAUUUGUUUCCGACCCGGUAUUGCCAUUUCAAAAGUGUCCAGAAAACUUGAAACCAGAUAUAUUGACAGAGGUUGUCAGGGAACAAGUUUUGAUCAAUGAUAUAGAGCGGAAAGAGUCUCUACUAGCUCAGAGAAUUGAGGUAUCCUUUAGAUCCCCCCUAUUUGUAGAAGGAAUUCUGCGACUAGUCAAACAUCAAAUGAAACUUAAUGGAAGAAAUUUCAGAUCGUGAUAUUGAAAAGUCGUUCAUGUUAAGUCUUACAAAUAUAAGAAUUUCAAAAGUGUCUGGACUCAAAACGUUCCUGACAUAUAAGGGAAAUAAAGUUGAUGGCACUGAUCGAACUUGCCUCUUGCUUCAUUCAGUCACGUGCGAUAAGUCAAGACGAUGACGAAACCAAAGAACAUGAGUUAUUUUUUCAAAUGGAUGCGGAACAUGAUCUUUUAAUUCAGUUGACAGAAGAAGCAAAUGGACUUGUGAAAUUAAUAGACACAUGUACCGAGGACAUACUUGAGAAACAAUUAUCACAGCAUAUCCCUUCGGUCCUUCGUUUGCUCGAAAAGCCUUCAGAAAUAAAACAAAAACUAGAUCGAUUAAGAAUUGAUGCUUAUGACCUUCCACAGGCUUUCACUUAUGUCAGUUUUUCCUAGACCAGGAACUUAUGUAGAGGACAAGUUUCACCCAUUUUUAGAGCAAAGCAUUUCACCGAUCAAGACGCACGAAUUCAUGUAUGUUGCUCUUGAAAUUGAAGACGCCGAUGAUUCCGGUGACCCUGUUUAUAUAUAUGCUAAUGUAACAAGCGAAAACAUGAGAGGUCCAGGGCAGUCUGUUUUAAGUAUUACAUACAAAGUUGACGUUGGAUACCGCAGUGAUGGAUUUAUAACUGUACCGAUAUAUCGUCUGUAUAGAUUUAAACCCAAACAGCCAGAGGAAUUAAAUGCAUUAGUGGUUUAUGACAUUGAACCUAUAGGAUCUAUUCCUAUUGAUGAAAAUUUCCGUCGUGUAAGGCAAAUGCUGAUUGAAGCAUGGUCUUUGAAUGCAACGGAGCGAAAGAGAAUAAUACGUCGUUGUUUAACUAGAUGGCAUCCAGAUAGAAACAUGGAUCAUCGAGAAUAUGCUCAACGGCUCUUCAACUAUAUAAAUGAAAUUGUGGUAAAACUAGAAAACAAUGAGAUAAUUGAUGACACUAUUUCACAUGACACGGGGAGAAUGCCGCCAGAUAUGUCCCGCUCAUCAUUUGGGUCGGCAAGCUCCGCUGCUUACAACAGAGGUUGUAGGUAUGCUGCAGCAUUUUCAUAACAACAUGCGCGACUAUAACAGGUCGACACGAACAGGGAACUUUGCACAUCAUCAAGCAGAAGAAGCAGUUGUGCGUCAUGUUGGUGAAGCAAAAAGGUGGCACCGGCAAGCAGUACAUGAUUUUAAAGCUGCCGAGAGUAAUGUUAACACUGGAGAGCAAGAUCAGAGUUUUAACUGGGUGUGUUACAAGUGUCACCAGGCAUCAGAAAAAGCACUGAAAGCAGCAUGGUUUGCAAAGAAUGCAAACAGGGUAACCACACGAGAACAUUCUCUAACAGUGAUUGCAAGCGGUCUAGACGAUGGAGCUUUUCUAGUUGAGGCUAGCAGUUUAGAAGGUAU